CAAGGAAUCUUGCGCAAUGGGGGAAACCCUGACGCAGCAACGCCGCGUGAGUGAAGAAGGCUUUCGGGUUGUAAAGCUCUUUUAUUGGGGACGAGUAAGGACGGUACCCAAUGAAUAAGCCUCGGCUAACUACGUGCCAGCAGCCGCGGUAAAACGUGGGAGGCGAGCGUUAUCCGGAAUUAUUGGGCGUAAAGGGCCCGCAGGCGGCACAUUAAGUCAGGUGUGAAAUCUCCCGGCUCAACUGGGAGGGGACAUUUGAAACUGAUGAGCUUGAGGACAGCAGGGGGAAGCGGAACUCCCGGUGUAGCGGUGAUAUGCGUAGAUAUCGGGAGGAACACCAGUGGCGAAGGCGGCUUCCUGGGCUGUUUCUGACGCUGAGGGGCGAAAGCGUGGGGAGCAAACCGG
rnacentral:rRNA from 1 species